rnacentral:rRNA from 1 species
AGAGUUUGAUCAUGGCUCAGGAUGAACGCUAGCGGCAGGCUUAACACAUGCAAGUCGAGGGGUAACAUUGAUUGCUUGCAAUCAGAUGACGACCGGCGCACGGGUGCGUAACGCGUAUGCAACCUACCUUUUACUGGGGAAUAGCCCGAAGAAAUUCGGAUUAAUGUCCCAUAGUAUUAUUUAAUCUCAUGAUUUUAUAAUUAAAGAUUUAUUGGUAAAAGAUGGGCAUGCGUUUUAUUAGUUAGUUGGUAAGGUAACGGCUUACCAAGACUACGAUAAAUAGGGGUCCUGAGAGGGAGAUCCCCCACACUGGUACUGAGACACGGACCAGACUCCUACGGGAGGCAGCAGUGAGGAAUAUUGGACAAUGGGUGAGAGCCUGAUCCAGCCAUGCCGCGUGCAGGAAGACUGCCCUAUGGGUUGUAAACUGCUUUUAUACAGGAAGAAACACUCCCUCGUGAGGGAGUUUGACGGUACUGUAAGAAUAAGGACCGGCUAACUCCGUGCCAGCAGCCGCGGUAAUACGGAGGGUCCAAGCGUUAUCCGGAAUCAUUGGGUUUAAAGGGUCCGUAGGCGGAUUAUUAAGUCAGAGGUGAAAUCCCACAGCUCAACUGUGGAACUGCCUUUGAUACUGGUAGUCUUGAGUUAUAUGGAAGUAGAUAGAAUGUGUAGUGUAGCGGUGAAAUGCUUAGAUAUUACACGGAAUACCGAUUGCGAAGGCAGUCUACUACGUAUAUACUGACGCUAAGGGACGAAAGCGUGGGGAGCGAACAGGAUUAGAUACCCUGNNAGUCCACGCCGUAAACGAUGGACACUAGUUGUUGG